CCUACGGGAGGCAGCAGUGGGGAAUAUUGCACAAUGGGGGAAACCCUGAUGCAGCGACGCCGCGUGAGUGAAGAAGUAAUUCGUUUUGUAAAGCUCUAUCAGCAGGGAAGAAAAUGACGGUACCUGUGUCAGAAGCCCCGGCUAACUACGUGCCAGCAGCCGCGGUAAUACGUAGUGGGCAAGCGUUAUCCGGAUUUACUGGGUGUAAAGGGAGCGUAGACGGCAUUGCAAGUCUGGAGUGAAAGGCGGGGGCUCAACCCCCGGACGGCUCUGGAAACUGUCCGGCUGGAGUGCAGGAGAGGUAAGUGGAAUUCCUAGUGUAGCGGUGAAAUGCGUAGAUAUUAGGAGGAACACCAGUGGCGAAGGCGGCUUACUGGACUGUAACUGACGUUGAGGCUCGAAAGCGUGGGGAGCAAACAGGAUUAGAUACCCCUGUAGUC
rnacentral:rRNA from 1 species